GGUACUUGAAGAGAGAUUUCCCAGUGAAUUUGUUUCAUUUAUGAUGGAACAUACCUGGUUACCCUCUUCCCUGUGUC
rnacentral:pre_miRNA from 1 species